rnacentral:lncRNA from 1 species
GGAUGGAGGCGCUCUGGGGCUCCAGGAGAAAGGCAGGGACAGGAGGGAACAGGAGGGAACCAGGAGGGAGCUUUUCCAGUCAGGAUGGGGCAGUGGUUACUGGGAAUGGCUCCCACCUUCCCAGGAGUGCUUCAUUUCACACCCUGCUCCGUGAGGAAUCAGUGGGGUGGAGGGAAUCAGCACUGGGAACAGGGAAUCCAGCACUGGGAUCACUGGGAUCACUGAAUUCAGCACUGGGAUGGAGGAAUCAGCACUGGGAUGGAGGAAUCAGCACUGGGAUCACUGAAUUCAGCACUGGGAUCACCAAAAUCAGCACUGGGAUCACUGA